GAACGAAGUGAGUAGACAAACAUACAAAGCUUUAUACGGCUGGCUGUAAGCUUUUAUUGGACCCACUCUGGGUUUGUUUAUCACCAGUUUUUGCGACAAUGUCUUCAAUUCGUGCCACUGUUACAAACUUAUCAGGCUUUGCCAGACACACUACACAAAAAGGAAAGUCCUGGGGACCUACAAUGGCUGCAUGGGGAGGUGGCCUUGCAUUGGUUGGUCUUUUUCUCACAGAUUGGAAAGUGAUCACAGCAUACAUCCCAUACAUUAAAGAUAAAUAUGAUCACAAGGUUCCGCGCUGAUCAAAGCAAUGUUUCAAUGGUGUAUGAAGCGUACAAAACUGUUUAAGUGCUUCAUGGAUGUUGUAUAGUUAUUGAAAUAUAAUUCUUCUGUUAAA